GAGUUUGAUCAUGGCUCAGAUUGAGCGCUGGCGGCAUACUUUACACAUGCAAGUCGAACGGACUUUGAGGCUUGCCUCAGAGUUAGUGGCGAACGGGUGAGUAAUGCAUCGGAACGUACCGUGUAGUGGGGGAUAACGCAGCGAAAGCUGUGCUAAUACCGCAUACGAUCUACGGAUGAAAGUGGGGGACCGCAAGGCCUCACGCUAUACGAGCGGCCGAUGUCCGAUUAGCUAGUUGGUGGGGUAAAGGCUCACCAAGGCGACGAUCGGUAGCUGGUCUGAGAGGAUGAUCAGCCACACUGGGACUGAGACACGGCCCAGACUCCUACGGGAGGCAGCAGUGGGGAAUUUUGGACAAUGGGCGAAAGCCUGAUCCAGCCAUGCCGCGUGAGUGAAGAAGGCCUUCGGUUGUAAG
rnacentral:rRNA from 1 species